rnacentral:rRNA from 1 species
UACGGAGGGGGCUAGCGUUGUUCGGAAUUACUGGGCGUAAAGCGCACGUAGGCGGCGAUUUAAGUCAGAGGUGAAAGCCCGGGGCUCAACCCCGGAAUAGCCUUUGAGACUGGAUUGCUAGAAUCUUGGAGAGGCGAGUGGAAUUCCGAGUGUAGAGGUGAAAAUUCGUAAGAUAUUCGGAAGAACACCAGUGGCGAAGGCGGCCUCGCUGGACAAGUAUUGACG